UUCCGCAUACAUCAGAUGCGGCGGAAACACGUGGACAAACGGUGCGUAUUUUCCUUGGGCCUUUGACAACAACAGAGAUGCAGCAGUGUACAGAAAUGACGGGAGUUGUUGAUGGAAGACGAGGCGACCACUAGCUUUGGGACACAUGGAGAGCCAGAGUAUUGGUUGUGCAUCGUUCUGGUGGUUGGCGAAGGAAGUUUGGGACAGCCCUACUGAAAAGCUGCAGAUGGAAGAUUGAGAUGGAGCGUGCCCACAGGUCUGGAAAACAUGUAACCAGCCUAGGUGACUGGUCAAGUUCUAGAGGUUUAAGGACAAGAUGGCUGUUCUGGAGAGAGCCAAGAACUUGAGAGGAAUCAACAUCUUCCUCAACGAGGACUUCACAGAAGCUGUCGGCCUGAGGCGGAAAGAACUUAUCCCAGCUAUGAAAACUGCCAGAGAGCAUGGGAGCAUUGCUUACAUCCACUACGACAGGCUCAUUGUCCACCCUCCCUCCCAAAAGCCUUGUGAGGAAUGAGAUAGCCAUGCCUCAGGGUCAGUAGCUUCAGCACAACAUCACAUGCACAUAUAUUGAUUGAUUUUGUUAAGAGGUGUAUUUUCUGGGUGACCUGACGAUUGACUAGUUAGCAACUAGCUCUCCAUUCUGACUAAUGCCUGUAAUAUGAUCCAUUUUCACUCAGCCAACUAGAGUGCAUACCAAUAGUGUUGGUUCUGUUACAUCUACUUGUAUUGAUCAUAUCUUCACUAAUACUGCAAAGCUUUGCUCCAAAGCAAUACCAGCUUCCAUUGGCUGUAGUGAUUAUAACAUUGUGGCAUUAACAAGGAAAGCGUAAGUGCCAAAGGUUGGGACUAAAGUAAUUCAUAAGAGGUCAUACAAAAUGUUUCCUCGAUUCUUUUGUUGAAAAUGUAUGUUGGUCUGAUGUUUAUGAGGAAGUGAAUUCAGGUGCAGCACUGGAAGUAUUUGUAAAAAAUGUCAUGCCAACUGUUGACAAUGUACCCCAUGAUUGAUGAUGGUUCAAAGAAAGAAAUGAUGCAAAAGUUGUCUGCUCAGCUGAUUAGUUGUUGUACUCUAAAUUGAGAAAUGUUGUGACUAAACUUAACAAGAAUAAAAUAUAUUACCAAACAAAGAUAAAUACUUUGGAGUACCAUUUAUAAUAAAACCUUUAGUUAUUGCCAGUCAUUUCAAUGACUUUCAUUAGUGAAGUGGAAAAACUGAAAUGAAAACAUUGAACAGUGAACCAUCAUAUUUUUUAAUAAAGGAUUUCAUAAUGAAAGAAAA